rnacentral:tmRNA from 1 species
GGGGACGCGUGGUUUCGACAGGGGAAGUAUGUUACAGGAUUGCAGGCUGAGGUUGCCGCUACCCUCAUUAAACAAGUGGCAAAAGAUAACUGGCAAAGAACCAGUACUAGUUGCCGCCUAAUUAAAUAGGCAGCACAUCCACCCCUACCCCACCCCGGCGGGUGGGGAGUGGGUGACGAAAAGUCGGGGUGCCACCGCCCCAGGGUCGACUAAGGCGGUGAAAGAGAAAUCGACUGGCCUGCCUGGACCCGGUCAGCAGGGGCCAGCCGGGUGAGAUCAAAGAGCUGACUAAGCCUGUAGGAUAUUCUGGACAGCUUCCUUUGGACGGGGAGUUCAACUCUCCCCCGUCUCCACCA